UGAACAUUAAAUAUCUUGUCUUUGUGGUGUAUUCAAUUGAAUAUAGGUUGAAGAGGAUUUGAAAAUCAUUUUAUUUACAUUUUACACAAUGUCCCAAAUUCAUUGGAAUUGGGGUUGUAUAAUAACAGCUGCAACUAACAGCCAUUUGUAUUUAUUAAUAACAUCAUUCAUUUAGAAUUGCGUGAAUUUGUAAUCAUAAGAAAAUAAAUUUAAAUGACCAUUAUAUUUUCAACAGUUAACCUUUAGGGAUAGAAAAACAUGAAAACCAUUUAUGUGGGUUUACCUUUAACCCCUGAGGGUUAAAGGUGAAGUCUUCAGCUGUUUCUUUUCUCCUCCAGCACUCCACUCAUGCAGUGAUAAUGCAGAACAUACAAACCUCCUUUACCACAACAAUACAAACAGUGUGCAGUGGAUAGAUAACGUCGGGUUGGGACACCUGCCAUCCUUAAUGAUCAUAUGUAUGCAAGACAUCUGUAAUAAACAUCAGGUGUAAAGUAAUGUCCAUUUAUGUACUCUAAGUGUCUGCCUUUACCCUGUGGACGUUCAAAUAAGUCACCUGCGUCGUAUCGUAAUGCUGGUUUGUUCUUCUAUAAACAGAUUUGGAAAUGAGAAAACAUGGACCAAUGCUACAUGUUCUUAUAUAGACAUUGUACACACGCAAAGACUGAAUCUUUAUCUGCUAUCAGCAUCUCCUGAAUGAAGCACAGUAUGUGGAUAUGCAUGAGGAAGAUCCAGAGUAUAAACCUGCUCACUGAGAGCGUCCUCUUUCUUUGCAAAAUAUUUGGGCUGUGGACCAUUUUCAUGGUUGUAAGGCAUUGGCUCCUAUCAUGAUGACCCUAAAGCAUGUGAUCUAAAGCAUAGGUGCGUUAAGAGCAAAUGAAACUCCAUUUUGUGAUGAGCUGAGCACUAAAUCAUGUACAGGGCUGAAAGGGAGUGUUCUAAAUGUGCUAGAACCUGGCACAUUGCUAUUUAGAUAGUGGACUAAAGUGAGAGGUUUUCUGCCAAGGAAACGGAUGUGUGUGAAAUGCAUCAAAACCUGUGAACAGGUCAAUUAUAGGAGCAGCCACCAAAGCUCCCUGAGAAGUAAUUACACACCUGGUUCCUGCAACAUUUCCCAGUUUUUACUUUUAUUUCUCUUAAAAAAAAAUUUCAGUUCUGUUGUAUUUUGAUGUGCUAAUACACAUCCCUGUUUGCACAAGCAGAGCGUAGGUGUUUUGCCAUCCUGCCUAUGUAAGUGCAGCUGAAUAUCGUGCUGUAUACAUAGCAGAAAACCUUUACACUCAGCUUUAGCCCUGGUUUCUGGUGGUCUGUGUUGCAUUUGCUUUCUGCUGCCUCAUGACUGUGAUGCGCCCCCACCGCCCCCGAGCACACCUCAUUAAAGCACCUCGUGAAAAGGACAAAUAUUACGUCUGUUGGAAAUGAGUAAUGUCACGGAGCUGCACUGCUCUGUGCCAGGUGUAGGGCACGGCUCAUUAACAUUUGUCUACCAAUGAACUUUAAAUGUUUUUAAAAGGUGUUAUUUUUUUUUUAACAGUUGUCAUUUUCAUUUUUUAUUACUACAGUGACUAGACGUUUUGAUCUUUUUUUUUUUUUUUCUUUUUUGAAUGAGCAGCUGGUCAAUCCUCUAAAAGUACACAUCAGCCUUAUUUCUUUCUCACUCACUCUUUAGAGUUUAAUUACUUUAUCAUUAUUUUGUCUGAUUUAUUUUUUUAAUGACAUUUCACACAGCUGAUGGGAUCUUUACAUUAAGGGUCUUCAAGAAAAAUUCCUCCUUAAUACAUAACUUUUAACACAUCUAUAAACUCCUAUAUGAAGAGUUCAAAUGCAAAACCGUGAAGGAACCUUUUUGGAGAAAAAUGCCAUUUAAAGUGAAUUCAAAGAAAAAUAAAUUAAAAAUGCUCAGAUUGUCAUAAAGAAAAUGAAAAUGGUAUGUUCAAAUUCUUUAAUAUUUUGCACACUGAUAGUUAGUGAAGCAGCCAAGUUUCUGUUAGCCUCCUCUUUAAUUCUUCAUAUAUGCCCCCCCUUUUUUUUUCUUAAAGUGGUACAUAUAUACUGAGGGAGGCAUGUUGUCCUCAACAUUUUUAAAACACAGGUUUUCGUCUUGACAGCAAGAGCACAAGGAAAUCUGUGUAAUUCACAAUUUGAUACUUUCUCUCACUAUACUUUCUCUCUGAUUCCCUUUUUAUUUCUAUUUGAGUGGUACGGUGCCCCCCCCCCCCCGACUCCACCUCAGUUAAGAACAAAUUCUAAGUCUCAUCCUGUUUCUGUCUUGUUCAGCUGAGGUGGUUCGGGCAUCUGGUAAGGAUGCCUCCUGGGCGGUAGGGAGGUGUUUGAGGCACGUCCAUCCCUAGGGAAGACCCAGAACUAGGUGGAGAGAUUAUAUCGCCACACUGGCCUGGGAAGGCCUCGGGAUCCCCCAGUCAGAGGUGGUCAGUGUGGCCUGGGAAAGGGAAGUCUGGGGUCCCCUGCUGGAGCUGUGUGUUAGUCGAGGAUUAAGUGG